rnacentral:rRNA from 1 species
AACUUACCAGGUCCAGACAUAGUAAGGAUUGACAGAUUGAAGAUCUUUCUUGAUUCUAUGGUUGGUGGUGCAUGGCCGUUCUUAGUUGGUGGAGUGAUUUGUCUGGUUAAUUCCGUUAACGAACGAGACCCCUGCCUGCUAAAUAGUUGAGCGAAUGAAUGUUCAUUGGCUACAGCUUCUUAGAGGGACGUGCGUUCUAUUAGACGCAGGAAGAUAGGGGCAAUAACAGGUCUGUGAUGCCCUUAGAUGUCCUGGGCCGCACGCGCGUUACACUGAUGCACUCAACGAGUCUACCUUGGCCGAGAGGCCUGGGAAAUCUUGUUAACAUGCAUCGUGAUAGGGAUAGAUUAUUGCAAUUAUUAAUCUUGAACGAGGAAUUCCUAGUAAACGCAGAUCAUCAAUCUGCAUUGAUUACGUCCCUGCCCUUUGUACACACCGCCCGUCGCACCUACCGAUUGAACGUUCCGGUGAGACCUUCGGAGGGCACGAUGUUCCUGGCGACAGGACGUGGUGGCCAAAGUUGAGCAAACCUUAACGUUUAGAGGAAGGUGAAGUCGUAACAAGGUUUCCGUAGGUGAACCUGCGGAAGGAUCAUU